rnacentral:rRNA from 1 species
AUGGCCCACCGCGCCCCCGCCGCGCUCCUCCUCCUGCUCGUCGCCGUCGCCGCCGCCGCGUCGGGGGAGGGGCCGGCGUCGGAGGUGGUGGUUGGGGAGGAGACGGCGGAGGCGGGGAUGCUGGGGCAGCUCGCGCGGCUGGAGGCGGUCGCGGAGUCGCUCGCCAGGUCCGUGCGCGCGCUGGAGGCCGCGCUCGCCAGAUCCGCGGGCCCGGGGCCGCCCCCGCCCGCGCAGCCGCAGCAGCAGCAGCAGGAGGAGGUGGCGGUCUCCGACGCCGUGGCGGAGGAGGCGCCGGGCGGGGGCGGAGCGGGGCGGCGGGCCCCGCAGGGCGUGGCGGUGACCAAGCGCCGGCCUUUGUGGUCCGAGCGGUUCGUCUUCGCCGCGGCCGUGCGGCUCGGGGACGGCGCGCACGCGGCCGCCCAGGCCGCGCUGCCCUACGAGGACGCCGACGGCCUCACCAAGUACUUCGCCGUCGGCGACUCCCUCGGCCGCGUCUUCGUCUUCUCCGCCGCGGGGGACGCGCUGCUCGAGCUCGGCCUGCCCCCCGGCGAGUCCUCCUCCAGCCCAUCCUCCCCGGUGACCGCCCUGCUCGCCUACCUCUCCCCGCGCCGCGCCGACUGCCUGCUCUUCGCGGGCCACGCGGACGGCUCCAUCGCGGCGCACCGGCUCACCGAGUCCUCCCCGCACGGCGACGACUGGCUCACCCUCGCCGCGGCCUCCUCGCGGCUCCUCGUGCGCGGCCUCGACGGCGCCCCGGUCCUCCACCUCGAGGCGCACCACGCGGGGCGGUCCCGCUACGUGCUCUCCUGCGACGCCGGCCGCCGCAUCCGCGUCUUCACCGAGAACGGCACGCUCUACGGCACCGCCAUCGCCUCCUCCACGCCGCUCGCCUUCGUCAAGCAGCGCCUGCUCUUCCUCACCGAGGCCGGCGCCGCGUCGCUCGACCUCCGCUCCAUGACCGUCCGGGAGACGCCCUGCGAGGGCCUCGCCGACGCGCUCAACGGCUCCCGCCCCAGGUCCUACUCCUUCGACCCCUCCGAGCGCUUCAAGGCCUACGGCUUCACCGACGCCGGCGACCUCGUGCACGUCCUGCUCAUGGGCGACGUUGCCAACCUCAAGUGCCGGGUCCGGGCCGUCAAGAAGGCCGAGGUCGACAGCCCUGUUGCGAUACAGACCAUCAAAGGUUACCUCUUGGUGGCCAGCCAGGACAAGAUCAUGGUGUACAACACCUCGUCUCAGUACUAUGGGAGGGUCGGGGCGCCCCGGCCGCUGUUCACCACUGCCAUUAGGGACAUCAAGGCUGUGUUUGCGGGUUCUAGCGCCGUCAUGUCAGCCGCACCAGCUGGGAAGCCUCUUAUUGCCGCGGACCGUGAGAAGCUCGUCAUCUUGGGGCUUGGGGAUGGUUACAUCGCCAUAUACCGUUCCAACUUCCCGGUGUACAAGCCGGAGAGCAAUGCUGUUGUGUGGAGUGGCCCGGCGCUGCUCUUCCUCCUCUUCUUGAUUGGCAUCUGGCAAGUCUAUGUGAAGAAGAAGGAUUCGUUGGGAUGGACACCGGAGGAGACGUUUAACACCUCGGUCACAGCUCCUACAGGGAGCAUCUUGAAUCAUCCAGCCAGUGAGCGAGCAUUCGCAGACAGCACGACAAGAGCUGCUGAUCGAAGCUAUGUGGAUGGCACGACCAGAGCAAGCGACAGAAGCUAUGUGGAUGCCACUGCAAGAUCUACUGACCGAGGCUAUGCUGAGGCUACCAGGGCUGUGGACCUACGCGGCGGGGCGUUGAGAAGUGCUCCGAGAAGGUACGUGUCCCCUACUAGGUAUGCAGGGGCAGCCGGUAUUCCGUAUCGACCUGUUUCAGCCGAGCCCGGGCUUAGAGGAGCCACUCCAGAGCUGAAGUACCGAGGCCCAGGUAUGGAGCCCCCUGGUUUCCCCAAGAAAAGGGAGACAUUGUUCUCGAACAACCAAGCCGUAGUAGAUGAUCACGUCGAAUGA